GCUAGCGGCAGCUUAACACAUGCAAGUCGAACGGUAACUUUUGGUGCUUGCACCGAAAGACGAGUGGCGGACGGGUGCGUAACGCGUAUGCAAUCUACCUUUUACUAGGGUAUAGCCCAGAGAAAUUUGGAUUAAUCCCCUAUAAUAUCAAAAUUCCGCAUGGUUUUUUGAUUAAAGCUUCGGCGGUAAAAGAUGAGCAUGCGUCCUAUUAGUUUGUAGGUGAGGUAACGGCUCACCUAGACUACGAUAGGUAGGGGCCCUGAGAGGGGGAUCCCCCACACUGGUACUGAGACACGGACCAGACUCCUACGGGAGGCAGCAGUGAGGAAUAUUGGACAAUGGACGAAAGUCUGAUCCAGCUAUGCCGCGUGCAGGAUGACAGCCCUACGGGUUGUAAACUGCUUUUGUACAGGAAGAAAAACCCCGACGUGUCGGGGCUUGACGGUACUGUAAGAAUAAGGAUCGGCUAACUCCGUGCCAGCAGCCGCGGUAAUACGGAGGAUCCAAGCGUUAUCCGGAAUUAUUGGGUUUAAAGGGUCCGCAGGCUGUUUUUUAAGUCAGAGGUGAAAUCCUGCAGCUCAACUGUAGAAUUGCCUUUGAAACUGAAAGACUUGAGUUAUUGUGAAGUGGUUAGAAUGUGUGGUGUAGCGGUGAAAUGCAUAGAUAUCACACAGAAUACCAAUUGCGAAGGCAGAUCACUAACAAUUAACUGACGCUCAGGGACGAAAGCGUGGGUAGCGAACAGGAUUAGAUACCCUGGUAGUCCACGCCGUAAACGAUGGAUACUAGCUGUAUGUCUACUUCAGGUAGAUGUGUGGCCAAGCGAAAGUGAUAAGUAUCCCACCUGGGGAGUACGAU
rnacentral:rRNA from 1 species